AGAUUGAACGCUGGCGGCAGGCCUAGCACAUGCAAGUCGAGCGGCAGCACGGGUACUUGUACCUGGUGGCGAGCGGCGGACGGGUGAGUAAUGCCUAGGAAUCUGCCUGAUAGUGGGGGAUAACGUUCGGAAACGGACGCUAAUACCGCAUACGUCCUACGGGAGAAAGUGGGGGAUCUUCGGACCUCACGCUAUCAGAUGAGCCUAGGUCGGAUUAGCUAGUUGGUAGGGUAAAGGCCUACCAAGGCUACGAUCCGUAACUGGUCUGAGAGGAUGAUCAGUCACACUGGAACUGAGACACGGUCCAGACUCCUACGGGAGGCAGCAGUGGGGAAUAUUGGACAAUGGGCGAAAGCCUGAUCCAGCCAUGCCGCGUGUGUGAAGAAGUCUUCGGAUUGUAAAGCACUUUAAGUGGAGGAAGGCACUAACCUAAUACGUUAGUGUUUUGACGUUACGACAGAAUAAGCACCGGCUAACUCUGUGUCCAGCAGCCCGUA
rnacentral:rRNA from 1 species